rnacentral:lncRNA from 10 species
GCUGGCUAGACGGGUGUUGCCUUCCUCCCUUACCACUCUGUGUGUGUCCUUCCUGAAGCUGUACAUUCGGAUGAAGAGGACGACCAUCCCCAAUAGAGGAAGACCAGUCUUCAGUCAUGGAUAUAAGAUUAGCUGCACUCCCCUGCUAGAACUUCCAAACAGGUUUUCAAAAUAUUACUACUCAUUGACAAUGCACCUGGUCACCCAAGAGCUCUGAUGGAGAUGUAGAAGAAGAUUAAUGUUGUUGCCAUGCCUGCUAACACAUCUAUUCUGUAGCCCAUGGAUUAAGCAGUGAUAGUGACUUUCAAGUCUCAUUAUUUAAAUACGUACAUUUUGUAAGGCUAUUACUAUCAUAAACAGUGAUUCCUCUGAUGCAUCUGGGCAAAGUAAACUGAAAACCUUCUGGAAAGGAUUCACCAUUCUAUAUGCCAUUAGGAGCAUUCAUGAUUCAUGGGAAGAGCUGAAAAUAUCCACAUUAACAGGGGUUUGAAAGAAACUUAUUCCUACUCUUAUGGAUGACUUUGAGGGGUUUAAGUUAUCUGUGGAGGAAGUAACUGUAGAUGUGGUAGA